rfam:Triticum aestivum genome assembly, contig: Triticum_aestivum_CS42_TGACv1_scaffold_643300_T_6AL-0.145249_1BL-0.099941
UCGAUGCUGAUGAGACACGAGUUUAUGUGAAGUUUGCAUCUGAGGCAUUUCUGUGGCGUCACUCUUUUUCACCUUGAAAUCUGAUGCAUCAC